UACGGGGGGGGCAAGCGUUGUUCGGAAUUACUGGGCGUAAAGGGUGCGUAGGCGGCUUUCUAAGUCGGAUGUGAAAACUCUGGGCUCAACCCAGAGCCUGCAUCUGAAACUGGAGAGCUAGGGUUUGGAGGGGAAAGCGGAAUUCCAGGUGUAGCGGUGAAAUGCGCAGAUAUCAGGAAGAACACCCGUGGCGAAGGCGGUUCUCUGGGACGGUACUGACGCUGAGACGCGAAAGCGUGGGGAGCGAACAGG
rnacentral:rRNA from 1 species